UACUAUCAUUCUUAGUGUUAGGACAUCUUCAAUGCCUCAUUUAAGGUUUGCCUUGCAUUUGCAGAAGCCCUUGUUCUCUGCAGGGCAAGAGACUGUGCCUGGGUUUGGUGGCUGCCACCUUGAUAAAGAGACAGCCUUCCUUGUUAAUGGGACUGUUGGCCCAAGGCUUUUCCUAGUCUUCUUUCCAGGCACCUCCAACUUGUUCUCAAAUAAUUUCUGGAGUCUGGAUCACCAUUAUAGUUCACAUCACCACCAAAUUUCAGUUUUGAAUUUAAAAGUAAAUAAUGCAAUUAACUUUGGAGAAUUUAUGAAAUACAAUGAUACUUCCUUAUAGUAUGUUAUUCAUGUGGAUUGAAUUUGCAAGGUUUUCAUUUGCCUGA
rnacentral:lncRNA from 1 species